UAUUGUAUUACCUUAUAUUUCACUUUUAUUGUCAUAGUAUUAUCCUUUUACCUUGUCGUAGAUGAUAGAUCUAUUUAUGCUCUGAUAUCUUUAGAUGUUGUUUUUCUUUGGUUUAUUUCCGUUGUUGAUGUAGACGUCUUAUAUGUGUUGACAUAUGGCGAGUCUGGGCACGCUACUGGGAGGGCCUCUGCCGGUCUCGGGGCAUGACAGGUACAAGUAUGGAUUUUUGUAAGAACAAAGGUAUUUUUUUGUUUGAAUGAAAUUAUGAGUAUAAGCUGGAACUAGAAAAAUUGUGUUUGGAUGGUUAUUGGGAAUAAGAGAAAUAGUUGAUGGUUAUAAAUAGAAAAUAAUGAUAUUACCCCUAUAAUUGAAUUUAAAUUUUUAAAUUUUAAACAUAUAAUUUUAAAUUAAAAAUUUUAACUUUUAAAUUUUAAAAUUUGAAAUUAAAAUUUAAAAUUUAAAUAUUCAAAUUUAUAGAUUUCAAAUUUUAAAUUUAAGAUCAAAUUUAAAUUUGAAAUAUAUAAAAUAUCAAAUUUAAAAGUUAAAAAUUUAUAAUAACAAAUUUAAAUUUUAAACUUUAAAAUUUACAAUUUACAAUUUACAAUUUUAAUUUUAAAAUUACAAAAUUUAAAUUCUAAAUUUUAAAACAAAACUCUCUCUCCUCUCUCCCCAGUU
rnacentral:lncRNA from 1 species